UUUCCGUAGGUGAGCCUGCGGAAGGAUCAUUCAUAAUAAAGUGUUUUAUGGCACUUUUUAAAAAUCCAUAUCCACCUUGUGUGCAAUGUUAGAUCUCGUCAAUCUUGGCGAGAUUUUUAUACAUCAACUCAUUCUUUAACUAAUUUGUCUGAAAAAUAUUAUGAAUACCUAAUUCAAAAUACAACUUUCAACAACGGAUCUCUUGGCUCUC
rnacentral:misc_RNA from 1 species